AGCCCAGGCCCAGUUCCCCUGGCUAUUUUAUGCCUGUACCACCUGAGUCACCACGGCAAAACUGGCAAUUCUCCAACAAGAGCGCGAUCUGGCACUUGCGCAAAAUCGACAACUCGCGGAUGAAAUUCAGACGAUACGCAUCUACUACAGCCUCCACAAAUCCCUCACCUCGGAGCCCA